AGCACCACAACAGGUGGAGCCUGCGGUUUAAUUGGAUUCAACGCCGGAAAUCUUACCGGACCGACAGCAAUAUGAAGGCCAGGCUGAAGACUUUGCCGGAUUAGCUGAGAGGUGGUGCAUGGCCGUCGUCAGUUCGUACUGUGAAGCAUCCUGUUAAGUCAGGCAACGAGCGAGACCCACGCCCACAGUUGCCAGCGUACUCUCUGGAGUGACGGGUACACUGUGGGGACCGCCGCUGCUAAAGCGGAGGAAGGAAUGGGCAACGGUAGGUCAGUAUGCCCCGAAUAUCCCGGGCUACACGCGAGCUACAAUGGUUGGUACAAUGGGUAUCUACCCCGAAAGGGGACGGGAAUCUCCUAAAACCAAUCUUAGUUCGGAUUGAGGGCUGCAACUCGCCCUCAUGAAGCUGGAAUCCGUAGUAAUCGCGUUUCAACAGAACGCGGUGAAUACGUUCCCGGGCCCU
rnacentral:rRNA from 1 species